GAUGAAGGUGUGUUGAGAAGCAUGCUGGAGGUAUCAGAAGUGCGAAUGCUGACGUGAGUAACGACAAAACGGGUGAAAAACCCGUUCGCCGAAAGACCAAGGGUUCCAGUCCAACGUUAAUCGGGGCUGGGUGAGUCGACCCCUAAGGCGAGGCCGAAAGGCGUAGUCGAUGGGAAAAUGGUUAAUAUUCCAUUACUUCUGUGUAAUGCGAUGAGAGGACGGAGAAGGCUAAAUCAGCCUGGCGUUGGUUGUCCAGGUGAAAGGAUGUAGGCAUGUAUCUUAGGCAAAUCCGGGGUACUCUAUGCUGAGAUCUGAUAGCAAGCUGUACUUGUACAGCGAAGUGGUUGAUGCCAUGCUUCCAGGAAAAGUCUCUAAGCUUCAGUUACACAGGAAUCGUACCCGAAACCGACACAGGUGGUCAGGUCGAGUAGACCAAGGCGCUUGAGAGAACUCUGCUGAAGGAACUAGGCAAAAUGGUACCGUAACUUCGGGAGAAGGUACGCUGUUGUUGGUGAUGGAACUCGCUUCCUGAGCUGACGACAGCCGCAGAAACCAGGCCGCUGCAACUGUUUAUUAAAAACAUAGCACUCUGCAAACACGAAAGUGGACGUAUAGGGUGUGAUGCCUGCCCGGUGCUGGAAGGUUAAUUGAUGGGGUUAGCGUAAGCGAAGCUCUUGAUCGAAGCCCCAGUAAACGGCGGCCGUAACUAUAACGGUCCUAAGGUAGCGAAAUUCCUUGUCGGGUAAGUUCCGACCUGCACGAAUGGCAUAAUGAUGGCGGCGCUGUCUCCAGCAGAGGCUCAGUGAAAUCGAAAUCGCUGUGAAGAUGCAGUGUACCCGCGGCUAGACGGAAAGACCCCGUGAACCUUUACUGCAGCUUGACACUGAACUUUGACCUUACUUGUGUAGGAUAGGUGGGAGGCUUUGAAGCUGGAACGCUAGUUCCAGUGGAGCCGUCCUUGAAAUACCACCCUGGUAAUGUUGAGGUUCUAACUCUGUCCCGUGAUCCGGGACGAGGACCGUGUCUGGUGGGUAGUUUGACUGGGGCGGUCUCCUCCUAAAGAGUAACGGAGGAGUACGAAGGUGCGCUCAGCGUGGUCGGAAAUCACGCGUAGAGUAUAAAGGCAAAAGCGCGCUUAACUGCGAGACCCACAAGUCGAGCAGGUACGAAAGUAGGUCUUAGUGAUCCGGUGGUUCUGUAUGGAAGGGCCAUCGCUCAACGGAUAAAAGGUACUCUGGGGAUAACAGGCUGAUACCGCCCAAGAGUUCAUAUCGACGGCGGUGUUUGGCACCUCGAUGUCGGCUCAUCUCAUCCUGGGGCUGAAGCAGGUCCCAAGGGUAUGGCUGUUCGCCAUUUAAAGAGGGACGCGAGCUGGGUUUAGAACGUCGUGAGACAGUUCGGUCCCUAUCUACCGUGGGCGCUGGAAAUUUGAGAGGAUCUGCUCCUAGUACGAGAGGACCAGAGUGGACGAACCUCUGGUGUACCGGUUGUGACGCCAGUCGCAUCGCCGGGUAGCUAUGUUCGGAAGGGAUAACCGCUGAAAGCAUCUAAGCGGGAAGCCUACCUCAAGAUAAGAUUUCCCUAGGACUUUAUGUCCUCUAAAGAGCCGUUCGAGACUAGGACGUUGAUAGGUUGGAUGUGGAAGCAUAGUGAUAUGUGAAGCUGACCAAUACUAAUUGCUCGUGAGGCUUGACUAU
rnacentral:rRNA from 1 species